ACUAUACUUGGUCAUUUAGAGGAAGUAAAAGUCGUAACCAAGGUUUCCCGUAGGUGAACCUGCGGAAGGAUCCAUUA
rnacentral:rRNA from 1 species